rfam:Picea glauca, whole genome shotgun sequence.
ACAUGCCUACAACAUAGCGGUAAUGCCUACAACAUAGUGUUAUAACUUUGCAGUUAAGCACGCUCGGGCUAGAGUAGUACUGGGAUGGGUGACUUUCCUCGAAGUCCUAGUGUUUUACAUGCC